CGGGGCGCGCGGCGUGCCGCCUAUCUUACGGGACCGCGCGCGGUCAACAACCCGAGUAAGGCAUUUAACAGAGUCGGCGCGACAUGCAUGUAAUACGGAGUCUAUCUCGCUACGCGACAUUACUUUCAGUAUUGAAUAACUCGGUGAUAAAGAAUCGUACAGCGCUCAGUAAAUACGCAAAUUAAGGUAAAGAUUCACGUUUUGGUAUGCUGUAAACCGCAUUUGUAUGCGAUUUUUAUUUCACGUCGUAAAAUGUUGCAAAGUUUGUAUAAAAUUUUAACGUUUGACGGAUUUUUUUACGAAAUUUGCAAAGCUUUACGGUGUAAAAUAAAAGUCUUACAAAAAUGUGGUUUACAGCAUUCAAAAAGCGUGAAUCUUUAACUUACGUACUAGUAGAGGAUUGUACAAUUUUUAUCCACCGACUUAUUCAACAUUGAAGCAAGAAAGAUCAUUUUUACUUCAGUGUUGAAUAACUCUAGUUUAAAAUUCGAAAUAAUAUUCAAUAUACAUACGAUGUUUUAGACAUUCCAAGAAAUUUGGUUGUCACACGGCCUUGGAGUUCGUUGUUUUUGUGUAUAGCGCGUUGUGCUUACGCAAGGUCACAGCGCUAUCAUUCGUGUUCCGAAACUUGAGCGAACAGGUAGCGGUGCGAUCCGCUCCGUGAUAUCUCACAACAUAUCAAUUGGAUCAUGUACUUGUAUUUUUGAAUGGUCCAUCGCGUUUCAAUUAAUUAUUAACUCUGCUUUAUUAAUCACGUCGUACUGUGUGGUGCCAAGUUAAACCCGCCGGCUCUGUUUUUGAAUUAUUAACGAAAAGCCGCAGAUCCAAACGUCAAAUAGCUUCAUAGCUUAUUCGCGCGCGUAUGAUAAUGCUUGGAUUUUCUCGUCGUAAUAUAAUAAAAUAUUUUGUGAUUGUGUGACGUGAACGUUGAGAGUGCUGUACCAACUACUGCACGAUUGUCUAUUCUUUACCGUGAUGUGUAAUUAAUCGGUGUUUUUGCGAGUGAGUGUGAUGCCCAUGGACAUAGAAAAUAUAUUUCUAAAUAUAUUUUUAUGUCCAUGGUCGUGUCUCGAAAAAACGAGAGAAGAGAAGGAAAAGAUUCAGGACGGCAUCGGGUGUCGGUAGACCAAUCCUAGAGGUGAGUUGUCUGCUAUUUAUAAUUAUAUCUGUUACUUUCGUAAUCGUUUGUAAUUAUCUUACGCACGCAACUGUACGCCAGAGAAUUAAUUAUAAACAAAUGUUGCUAUAAUUUGAAUCGUGUAUUUGUAUUUUACAAAAAUUAAUGUGGCGCGUAGUUAUAACUCCGCUUCUGCGACUCGUGUCGGCGAGUGAAAGAAAAUUAUUUGUUCUAUGUUGAAGUAAUAAAUUUGUGAAAGAAUAUUACAGACAAAUGUAACUUUAUUACAUAUUACAAUAAAAACAGGCCCGCGCGUAGCACGUGCUACAAAGCUUUUAAUAUUACAUAAUUUCGAACAAAUUACAAAUUUAAUAUUACACUAUUAACUCGUGAAUACACAUAGUCAAUAUAUUCGACUUUUGCGAUGACAGCCGUUCUGAAAGUUAGCGCAGCGAGAAAACUAAUCGGCAUCGCAGAAAAGCGACAUUAACAUUGACAUAUUUGACAUACUUAUUCUUUACAUGCUUUUUUUAAAAAAAAGGGAUGCUUUUUUUUAAAAAGGUUUCCAAUUGUCUAUCCAAAUUUAAAUAAAAAAUUAUUUUAUAAAGGAAUUUUAAAAAUUUGUACUUUAAUAAUAUUUAUUAAAACUAUGAAUAAUAUUCAACAAACUACAUAAUUAUUCUUUGAAAUAUUAAUUAUUUUGAUCGUUGCCAUAAUUUAUGUUAUAAUUGUAUUUUAUAGAUUUACAGGAUCUGCGAAAAGGGGAAGGCCAGGAAGUAGCAUCGGGCCCCAGCGGAGCAACCUUGGAUAAUCACCGUAGCUUCGUGGCUGAUUAUAAUUCCGCUCGUCGCGCAUUGGGUCGGUGAGUCAGCAAUCAAUUUUCUUACUUUAUUUCAAGGCUUUGCAUAUGUCUUGCGCAGGAUCAAAGCAUAAUAUUGUCAUAUCUAUAUUUUUGUGAGUGAGCGAGUAAAUGAGUAAGUGACUAAGUGAGUUAAUUUAAAGAAAAAGAAGAAA